UAAGCUUGAUAUUAUUAUGACUGAUUUGAAAAAAUCGAGAGGUAGAGAAGCAGGUGGAAUUCCUGGACUGUCCCGCAACCGUGAAAAAAUAUUUUAUUUUAAGUCGGAUAACUAUCCAUAAUAAAUUUUCAUUA
rnacentral:ncRNA from 2 species